GGGGAAUAUUGCGCAAUGGGGGAAACCCUGACGCAGCAAUACCGCGUGAGUGAAGAAGGUUUUCGGAUCGUAAAGCUCUGUUAUUGGGGAAGAAAAAAAGACGGUACCCAAGAAGAAAGUCCCGGCUAACUACGUGCCAGCAGCCGCGGUAAUACGUAGGGGACAAGCGUUGUCCGGAUUUACUGGGCGUAAAGGGCACGCAGGCGGUUUUUUAAGUCAGAUGUGAAAGGUACCGACUCAACCGGUAACAUGCAUUGGAAACUGGGAGACUUGAGUGCAGAAGAGGAAAGUGGAAUUCCAAGUGUAGCGGUGAAAUGCGUAGAGAUUUGGAGGAACACCAGUGGCGAAGGCGACUUUCUGGUCUGCAACUGACGCUGAGGCGCGAAAGCAUGGGGAGCAAACA
rnacentral:rRNA from 1 species